CCAUUUUGUGUCAGUGCAUAGACUCAGUAUUAAUGGAAAUGCUAUUCAUGGAUAGGUGAUAGCUUCAAGAUUUUCUUACCGUUUUGAUGGUGGAGAAAUUGAUCCUGUACGUGAUAAAAGGUUUUUCAUUUUCACACAAAGUAUAUGUAUAAUUUGUCAUUGCUCUAAAAAUCUGUGAGAAUUUCGCCCACGAUUUGGUCAAUAUAUAUAUUUUUUUAAUAUCUAAAGACUUACUGUAAUGUGUGAAAAGAUGAAAUGACAAGUAACACCAGACCACCUACCAUCAUUGAACAAUCGUUUCGUGUUUUGUAAAGCAAACGUGUAUUUUCAGAUAUAUGAGAAAUAUGAGACAAAUUUGUUGAAAGUUCAAUUAUAAGAUAUUUUUACAUUUUUAGGGAAGAAGUCAUUUUCUUUCACGUUGUAUAAUUCUACAAUCAAUAAAAACACAGCAAUUUUGGAUUUUGUCUUUUAUUAAAAAGCGAAUGCAGAAAAUAGAUGUUAAAUUCGUGUGUAUCAAUAUAAUAAAGAUCAGAAACAUU
rnacentral:misc_RNA from 1 species